CACGUAGGGCGCAAGCGUUGUCCGGAAUUAUUGGGCGUAAAGAGCUCGUAGGUGGUUUGCUGCGUCCGCUGUGAAAACCCAAGGCUUAACCUUGGGCUUGCAGUGGAUACGGGCAGACUAGAGGUAGGUAGGGGAGAAUGGAAUUCCCGGUGUAGCGGUGAAAUGCGCAGAUAUCAGGAGGAACACCGGUGGCGAAGGCGGUUCUCUGGGCCUGUACUGACGCUGAGGAGCGAAAGCGUGGGGAGCGAACAGG
rnacentral:rRNA from 1 species